UACGUAGGUGGCAAGCGUUAUCCGGAAUUACUGGGCGUAGAGCGCACGCAGGCGGUCUUUUAAGUUUGACGUGAAAGCUCCCGGCUUAACUGGGAGAGGUCGUUGAAUACUGGAAGACUUGAGGCAAUGAGAGGGGUGUAGAAUUCCCGGUGUAGUGGUGGAAUGCGUAGAUAUCGGGGGGAAUACCAGUGGCGAAAGCGGCACCCUAGCGUUAGCCUGACGCUCAUGUGCGAAAGCGUGGGGAGCAAACGGG
rnacentral:rRNA from 1 species